UACUUUUAAAUAAGGAAGAGUUUGUGGUGGAUGCCUUGGGUCUGGAAGUCGAUGAAGGACGUGAUUACCUGCGAUAAGCCUCGUAGAGCCUGGAAAUAUGCUAUGAAACGGGGAUUUCCGAAUGGGGAAACCUAACUAUGGUAAUGCAUAGUUGCUUAUGUCUGAAUACAUAGGACAUAAAGCGAGAUACCUUGUGAACUGAAACAUCUUAGUAGCAAGAGGAAAAGAAAAUAAAUAAUGAUUUCUUUAGUAGCGGCGAGCGAACGAGAAAGAGCCCAAACCAUUUUAAAUGGGGUCAUAGGACAGACUACAUAGAGUUACAAAAUUUAAUAAUAGCAGAAGGCUUUUGGGAAGAAGCGGCACAGAAGGUGAUACCCCUGUAUGCGAAAUUAUUAAAUCUCUUGACUGUAUCCUGAGUAGGGGCGGGGCACGUGAAACCCUGUCUGAAUUUGCCGGGACCACCCGGUAAGGCUAAAUACUAACCAGACACCGAUAGCGAACUAGUACCGUGAGGGAAAGGUGAAAAGAACCCCGAGAGGGGAGUGAAAUAGAACUCUGAAACCACUUACUUACAAUUAGUCAGAGCCCGUUAAUGGGUGAUGGCGUACAUCUUGCAGUAUGGACCGGCGAGUUACUUUAGCAUGCAAGGUUAAGCAGAUAAAAGCGGAGCCGUAGAGAAAUCGAGUCUUAAUAGGGCGAUUAGUAUGCUUGAGUACACCCGAAACCAGGUGACCUAUUCAUGAGCAGACUGAAACUUAGCUAACCCUAAGUGGAGGGUCGAACCGUAGUACACUAAAACGUGCCCGGAUGACUUGUGAAUAGCGGAGAAAUUCCAAUCGAACUUGGAGAUAGCUGGUUCUCCUCGAAAUAGCCUUUAGGGCUAGCGUGUAGUGUUAAAUAAUGGUGGUAAAGCACUGAAUAUGGAAUGGCCUCGCCUAGGGGUACUGACUAUAAUCAAACUCUGAAUACCGUUAUGAAUUGCUAUGCAGUCGGAACCGGGGUGCUAACGUCCCGGCUCGCGAGGGAAACAACCCAGAUCGUCAGCCUAAGGUCCCAAAAUCGUGUUAAGUCAGAAAGGUUGUGAGGUUUCAUAAACAACUAGGAAGUUGGCUUAGAAGCGACCAUCUUUUAAAGAGUGCGUAAUAAGCUCACUAGUCAAGAGACCUUGCGCCGACAAUGUAACGGGAGUAAAACACGAUACCGAAGCCUACGGGUACAUUUAUGUACGUUAGAGGAGCGUUCUUAGGGCAAUGAAGCCUAGAACUGUAAAGACUAGUGGAGCGCUAAGAAGCGAGAAUGCCGGUAUGAGUAACGAUUCUGUAGUGAGAAUCUACGACGCCUAUUGGGGAAGGUUUCCUGGGCAAGGUUCGUCCACCCAGGGUUAGUCAGGACCUAAGGCGAGGCUGAAAAGCGUAGUCGAUGGACAACGAGGUUAAUAUUCCUGUACUUUCUUUAAUUGUGAUGGAGUGACGGAGAAGGAUAAGCAUACCUAUUAUUGGAUUUAGGGGUAAGUAGUUACUGGUGAUUGUAGGCAAAUCCGCAAUCUAUAACUGGGAGCUAUGAUGCAUAGGACUUUUGUCUGAAUUUGCCAAUUCCAUGCUUCCUAGAAAAGUUUCUAAACUUAAUUUUAUUGAAACCUCGUACCAAGAACGGACACACGUCCCCAAGAUGAGUAUUCUAAGGCGAGCGAGAAAACUAGUGUUAAGGAACUCUGCAAAAUGACCCCGUAAGUUCGCAAGAAGGGGCGCCUAUGGUAACACAUAGGCCACAGUAAAUUAUGAGGGGCAACUGUUUAUCAAAAACACAACUCUCUGCUAAACCGCAAGGUGAUGUAUAGGGGGUGAAGCCUGCCCAGUGCCCGAAGGUUAAGUGGAUGCGUUAGCUUAUGCGAAGCGUUGAAAUGAAGCCCGGGUGAACGGCGACCGUAACUAUAACGGUCCUAAGGUAGCGAAAUUCCUUGUCGGCUAAAUACUGACCUGCACGAAAGGCAUAAUGAUCUCUCAACUGUCUCAACACUAGAACUCGGUGAAAUUAUGGUCCCAGUGAAAACGCUGGGUUCCCGCAUCAAGACGAAAAGACCCCAUGGAGCCUUUACUAUAACUUCGUAUUGGAAUUUGGCCUAACAUGUGUAGGAUAGGUGGGAGACUUUGAAGCUCGAGAUCGCCAGUAGCAGUGGAGUCAACCUUGAAAUACCACCCUUGUUAUGUUGAAUUUCUAACUUACCAUCAUAAUCAGGUGGGAGGACAGUGCGUGGUGGGUAGUUUGACUGGGGCGGUCGCCUCCUAAAGAGUAACGGAGGCGUUCAAAGGUACACUCAGUACGGUCAGAAACCGUAUGUAGAGCGCAAAGGCAGAAGUGUGCUUGACUGUGAGACAUACAAGUCGAGCAGGUGCGAAAGCAGGACUUAGUGAUCCGGCUGUACAUUGUGGAAUGGCAGUCGCUCAACGGAUAAAAGUUACCCUGGGGAUAACAGGCUAAUCUUGCCCAAGAGAUCACAUCGACGGCAAGGUUUGGCACCUCGAUGUCGGCUCAUCGCAUCCUGGAGCCUGGAGUCGGUUCCAAGGGUUGGGCUGUUCGCCCAUUAAAGCGGUACGCGAGCCUGGGUUCAAAACGUCGUGAGACAGUUUGGUCCCUAUCUGAUGUGGGCGUUGGAAUAUUGAUGAGAGCCGCUCUUAGUACGAGAGGACCGGAGUGGACGUACCGCUGGUGUUCCAGUUGUUCCGCCAGGAGCAUGGCUGGGUAGCUAAGUACGGAAAGGAUAACCGCUGAAAGCAUCUAAGUGGGAAGCCUCCUCAGAGAUUAGUAUUCCCUUGAAAUUCCUUAUAGACUAUGAGGUUGAUAGGCUGGAUGUGUAAGCACAGUAAUGUGUUGAGCCUGACCAGUACUAAUAAAUUGAAAGGUUUAAAAG
rnacentral:rRNA from 1 species